rnacentral:lncRNA from 1 species
UAGAAGGACGGGGUUUUGCUUUUAUUUAAUAUUAUAAGCAAGUGUUGCUUUGCAUAUACCAGCAAAUUUUUAAUUUGAAUUAACUGUUUUUGAGGGUUUGUCAGUUAUGGAAACUACUUUAUGUAAUUCUGGUUAUAUAGUCUAGAACAUCGGCGUGCUUAUCCUCCUGGGUUAAACUUUCAUUUUACUCUUCAUCCUUUUCUUCCAGUCAGAGGUUCAUAAUGUAGCCCAGGAUCUCUAGGACUUUGCUGUGUAACCCAGGGCAGCCUGAAACUUGUGAUACUCCUACUCAGACCCCACCUACCAAGACUAUACGUGAGUGUCACAACACGUGUGCAGCUGUUUCCUAAUCAUCAUUAAUUCGUUAAAGGAGAACAGUUUCCAUUAAAAUUUCUGUUAGAAAAAUUUUACCCCUUAUUUGAAUUCCUUUUCUACUCAGUCUCUUACUUAAACAAAAUAGUAACUUAAAAUAAGAAUUAUAGAAGAUGUCUAAGUUUGAAUGUACUAUAUCUAAAUAAAAAAUAUUUGGGGGGUGUAGUGUUUUCUUUCGUGCAACUCAAAUUUGAACAUAUAUCCAAAUAUUUUCUUUCCUCUAAGAUUUAUGAUAAAGUAUGUAACUUAGCCACAUGACAAUGACAGACACAUCUCAAUGCUAACCUUAUUAGAAAAAUGCAUUUUUAUUUCAGUGAAUAUAAUCUCUACAUGUUCUCUCUGAAAAAAAGAAAAUGAGAACAUUAUUUUCUUUUUUUAAUUUUUAUUUUAUUAGAUAUUUUCUUUAUUUACAUUUCAAAUGCUAUCCCAAAGGUUCCCUCUACCCUCCCACUGCCCUGCUCCCCUACCCACCUACUCCCACUUCUUGGCCCUGGCGUUCCCCUGUACUGGGGCAUAUAAAAUUUGCAAGACCUAGGGGCUUCUCUUCCCAAUGAUGGCCGACUAGGCCAUCUUCUGUUACAUAUGCAGCUAGAGACACGAGCUCUGGGGGUACUGGUUAGUUCAUAUUGUUGUUCCACCUAUAGGGUUGCAGACCCCUUGAGCUCCUUGGGUACUUUCUCUAGCUCCUCCAUUGGGAGCCCUGUGUUCCAUCCUAUAGAUGACUAUGAGCAUCCACUUCUGUAUUUGCCAGGCACUGACAUUGCCUUAUAUGAGACAGCUAUACCAGGGUCCCUUCAGCAAAAUCUUGCUGGCCUAUGCAAUAGUGUCUGGGUUUGGUGGCUGAUUAUGGGAUGGAUCCCCGGGUGGGGUAGUCUCUGGGUGGUCCAUCCUUUUGUCUCAGCUCCAAGCUUUGUCUCUGUAGCUCCUUCCAUGGUUGUUUUGUUCCCUAUUCUGAGGCAGAAUGAAGGUCUUCCUUCUUGAUUUUCUUGUGUUUUGCAAAUUGUAUCUUGGGUAUUCUAAGUUUCUGGGCUAAUAUCCACUUAUCAGUGAGUGCAUAUCUAGUGACUUCUUUUGUGAUUGGGUUACCUCACUCAGGAUGAUAUCCUCCAGAUAUAUCCAUUUGCCCAAGAAUUUAUAAAUUCAUUGUUUUUUAAUAGCUGAGUAGUACACCAUUGUGUAAAUGUACCACAUUUUCUGUAUCUAUUCCUCUGUUGAGGGGCAUCUGGGUUCUUUCCAGCUUCUGGCUAUUAUAAAUAAGGCUGCUAUGAACAUAGUGGAGCAUGUGUCCUUAUUACCAGUUGGAACAUCUUCUGGGUAUAUGCCCAGGAGAGUUAUUGCAGGAUCCUCCAGUAGUACUGUGUCCAAUUUUCUGAGGAACCGCCAGACUGAUUUCCAGAGUGGUUGUACAAGCUUGCAAUCCCACCAGCAAUGGAGGAGUGUUCCUCUUUCUCCAUAUCCUCACCAGCAUCUGCUGUCACCUGAAUUUUUGAUCUCAGCCAUUCUGAUUGGUGUGAGAUGGAAUCUCAGGGUUGUUUUGAUUUUCAUUUCCCUGAUGAUUAAGGAUGUUGAACAUUUUUUCAGGUUCGUCUCAGCCAUUCGGUAUUCCUCAGUUGAGAAUUCUUUGUUUAGCUCUGUACCCCAUUUUUAAUGGGGUUAUAUGAAUUUCUGGAGUCCAGCUUCUUGAGCUCUUUGUAUAUAUUGAAUAAAAUUUGUUUUCUUUAUCCUCUGUGGCAGUGUUAUAUCACUGAGCUAGAAUGGCAGCUGCCUAGUCUGGUUUUUAGCCAUUAGUAGCUAUCUAAAGCUGUCAUACAGAAGUGAGAUUCAAGCUGUUUUAUAUACAGAGGUGUCAUCUUUACCCACAGCAGUAUAUUCUGUGAAUUCCUACUGUGGGAAGCGGAUGGAGGAUAGGGGGUGAGAGGCACUAAAGUCCCAUGAGGAAUCCCAGGAAAUCCGACUCUGGAGACCAGCAUCAUGGUGCAGGUCUGAGUUCAUUACCCAACCCAUAAGCUUAUGGGUUUAUAAAUGUUUCAGCCAAUCCCAAGCCCUUAAAUUUUUGGCCAAUCAUAUCCCACCAUAGGGCCCUGCCUAAGGAGGUAACUCAGAAGGAGGGGGGAGUAUUGUCACCUUUGAGGACCUCUGCAAAAAUUGCGGAAGUAGCCACUGCUUUGUCCUAGGUUCCUUUGUGCCGUCUCACUAGUGUGUCUGGAGCCAAUUUAGAUCUAAUGCCAUGUAAGGAGUCAGAUCAGGACUCUUCAAGGAGUCACAAGAGCCUGUGGAGUCUUGCUUGUUUUUUUUUUCCCUCACAAGGUUGAGUUCUACAUCCUACACAUCCUACUGGAUGUCUCCUCUAGACACUAAUAUCUUGUUCAUAGUCUCUACAAGGUGACAUACUGAGCAGAGUGAACAUUGUCUGUGAAACCCAAAGGGAACGCAGUGGUGGAUGGAUGGAGGUACAGCCUUCCUGGAUAUCCCUUUGUAUUUCUGCUUCCUCUCACCUUUGCCUGGGACAGUUGGAUUUUCUGGUUGUUUGGCUAACACAGAAGAUAUGUUUAUAAGAAAGAAAAGCAGAACUUUAUUUCUCACCGCCUUUUCGUUUUUCUCCUCUAACACCCAUCAGAAGAUUUUUUUGGGGGGUGGUGGCGGCAACACUGACUUAUUUUUCCUUAAAUUGCUUUAUCUUAGGUAAGCGGGGCUUGCCUUUGUGCUUAGCAAAAAUGUUUUUUGGCAAGUUAAUCUGAACAAAUCACCCGAAACCGUGCUUUCACCAUAGCUACCCCAGGUGUAACGGUACUUAUUAUUGUGUUCUGAGAAAAAUGUACUUUGGGACUGUAUGUGAAUGUGUGUGUGGAGGGUGGGCUGUGCGCAUAUGUCUACAUGUGUGCUCAGGAAACAGAAGUGUGGAAUCCCUAGGAGCUGGAGCCACAGGCAGUCCUGAGCCAUCCCUUCAGUCCCAGACAAAAAUAAAACUCUUG